rnacentral:rRNA from 1 species
AUUGAACGCUGGCGGCAGGCCUAACACAUGCAAGUCGAGCGGAUGAAGGGAGCUUGCUCCUGGAUUCAGCGGCGGACGGGUGAGUAAUGCCUAGGAAUCUGCUUGGCAGUGGGGGAUAACGUCCGGAAACGGGCGCUAAUACUGCAUACGUCCUGCGGGAGAAAGUGGGGGAUCUUUGGACCUCACGCUAUCAGAUGAGCCUAGGUCGGAUUAGCUAGUUGGUGGGGUAAAGGGCUACCAAGGCGACGAUCCGUAACUGGUCUGAUAGGAUGAUCAGUCACACUGGAACGUAGACACGGUCCAUAGGCCUACGGGAGGCAGCAGUGGGGAAUAUUGGACAAUGGGCGAAAGCCUGAUCCAGCCAUGCCGCGUGUGUGAAGAAGGUCUUCGGAUUGUAAAGCACUUUAUGUUGGGAGGAAGGGCAGUAGGUUAAUACCUUGCUGGUUUGACGUUACCAACAGAAUAAGCACCGGCUAACUUCGUG